CUCUAUGAGCUGGAUUGAAACAAGUUUGAUAACAUCUGAAGUCAUGAUGAUUUUUGUUUUAAAGAUAAAAUUAGACUGUUUGGUCCAGCAGUUAACUGAACCUUUUUAGAAAGUCCAAUGAACACAUGGAUGCAGGCCUCAAAUGUCAUAAAAGCCAGCUGUUUUAUAAAGGAAAAUUGAUCUGAUCUCAGGUCUCUCUCCCCCCCCAAAUCAGAUUGGUCAGGAGGGUCAUGUUACAGGUCUCAUCCAUCAUCUGGCAGAAGCCUGGAAAAGAGACUUUUCUGUUGUGGUGCCUGCCCUGUAUCUCAACAUCUCCCAGAGAUCACAAUGGGCCCAACCCUGUUGGCCUUUCACAAAGCCCUGGAGAUGUGGAUUUGUUCCUAGGAUCCAAUCUGGAUUGGUCACCGGGACCAGAGGUUUAGUCUUUCAAGCUUUUGGACUUGUGCUGAAGCCCAUCUUCAGGAAACGUUUUCUCCCCAGAAUAUGUAUUUUUCUCCUAUAUAUUAUUUUACAAAAUAUAGUUCUAAAUUAAGGCG